AAGAAAUGUCUCAAAAAAGAUUGACACGGUUAUAUGAUAUAGAUCACAAAUUCAAACAUUGAUUUUGACUUGAUAGUGAUAAGAACAACUACUCUAAUUUAUUUGAUAGCGAUAACAAUUUAAUAACAACACGUGUACGCUGAAAUAAACCAUUAACUAUCAGCGACUUAAGCGACCACCAACCAUCAACUAUUUUUUCAAUUAAACGUCAAGCCUUAAUAACCAAAC
rnacentral:misc_RNA from 1 species